rnacentral:rRNA from 1 species
AUUGAACGCUGGCGGAAUGCUUUACACAUGCAAGUCGAACGGCAGCACGGACUUCGGUCUGGUGGCGAGUGGCGAACGGGUGAGUAAUAUAUCGGAACGUGCCCAGUCGUGGGGGAUAACGUAGUGAAAAUUACGCUAAUACCGCAUACGAUCUAUGGAUGAAAGCGGGGGAUCGCAAGACCUCGCGCGAUUGGAGCGGCCGAUAUCAGAUUAGGUAGUUGGUGAGGUAAAGGCUCACCAAGCCAACGAUCUGUAGCUGGUCUGAGAGGACGACCAGCCACACUGGGACUGAGACACGGCCCAGACUCCUACGGGAGGCAGCAGUGGGGAAUUUUGGACAAUGGACGCAAGUCUGAUCCAGCCAUUCCGCGUGCAGGACGAAGGCCUUCGGGUUGUAAACUGCUUUUGUACAGAACGAAAAGGUUUCUAUUAAUACUAGGGGCUCAUGACGGUACUGUAAGAAUAAGCACCGGCUAACUACGUGCCAGCCGCCGCAGUAA